rnacentral:rRNA from 1 species
GACUGGCCUGCCCGCUGAAUUUUAAAGGCCGCGGUAUUUUGACUGUGCUAAGGUAGCAUAAUAAUUAGCUUUUUAAUUGAGAGCUUGAAUGAAGGGUUGGACAAAGAAAAGGCUGUCUUUAAUAUUUUUAUUGAAUUUUACAUUUAAGUGAAAAGGCUUAAAUUAAUUUAAGGGACGAUAAGACCCUAUAAAUCUUUAAAGAUCCUUUUUUGGGGAUUAAAAGUUUAAGUUCCUUUGGGGAUACCAGGGUAAUUUUUUUUAGAGUUCAUAUCGAAAGAAGAGUUUGCGACCUCGAUGUUGAAUUAAAAAUUUCUUUAUGGUGUAGUCGUUAUGAGGGAAAGUCUGUUCGACUUUAAAUUU